rnacentral:rRNA from 1 species
AGUAAAUAGAUACCCGGGUAGUCCACGCCGUAAACGAUGAGUACUAGGUGUAGGAGGUAUCGACUCCUUCUGUGCCGCAGUUAAACACAAUAAGUACUCCGCCUGGGAAGUACGGUCGCAAGAUUAAAACUCAAAGGAAUUGACGGGGGCCCGGCACAAGCAGCGGAGCAUGUGGUUUAAAUUUACGAAGCAACGCGAAGAACCUUACCUAGACUUGACAUCUCCUGAAUAGUGUAGAGAUACAUGAAGCCCUUCGGGGUCGAGGAAGACAGGUGGUGCAUGGUUGUCGUCAGCUCGUGUCGUGAGAUGUUGGGUUAA